rnacentral:rRNA from 1 species
GCGUGGGAAUAUGCCCUUCACUAUGGAAUAGCCUCGGGAAACUGAGAGUAAUACCAUAUACGCCCUUCGGGGAAGAUUAUCGGUGAAGGAUUAGCCCGCGUUAGAUUAGAUAGUUGGUGGGGUAAUGGCCUACCAAGUCUACGAUCUAUAGCUGGUUUGAGAGGAUGAUCAGCAACACUGGGACUGAGACACGGCCCAGACUCCUACGGGAGGCAGCAGUGGGGAAUCUUAGACAAUGGGCGCAAGCCUGAUCUAGCCAUGCCGCGUGAGUGACGAAGGCCUUAGGGUCGUAAAGCUCUU